AUGUACAAAGGGAAUUUGACCAAAUCUGCCCCGAUAAUGCUGGAGGAGAAACCAACCGCCAGCGUGGAACACAGUUCUGCACAGAUCAUUAAGCCCUUUCGAAAGAAAAAAGGAGCUCGGAAACGGCGUGUCAAGUCUCGGCCCUGCCAGUGGCGGCCCGCCAAAACCCGGUUAAAAAUCCGAGGCAAGAGGUGUACACUACAAGCUUUUGUUAACAAGAGGUUGCCUCCUCAAUGCCGUGAGAUGUGUUUCUCCAACUUGAUGCAAGGAAGCCCUCCUUCUAAGAAGACAGAUGUGGGAUGGUCAAACAGUCCUGACUCACCAUCUACGGGGAGACGUUUCUCCAGAAAAGGGAACGUGGGUCAUUCUGAACAAAGAAGAGGUUUUAGCAGUGUGCAGGAAAACCAGAGGCUGAGAAAUCCCAGUCCAGUGGCGAAGAGGCGAUAUCACUCAGUUUCCGAAUAUCAAUUUAUAUAUCCAGGAAGGGCCGUUUUCCACUACACGAAAGAAACGGUGAAGCAACAGCUGCGGUCGAUCUAUCUGGGAAAUGCCAUCCAGAAACCAGCCAGAAAUCAUCCGCGCCCAACCCAGAUGCCGUCUUCCUCCUGGGAAAUAAACGGGAGCCGACGGGGGAAUCUAAGUUCUACCACCAAAUGCCCAGUGGGUCGCGAAUUUCUGAGAAGCAUCCCGCGCGGUACCCUAGCCCAAGGACUUGCAGGACUGACCUACAAAAUCCAGAGGUUGGUGCUUGUGAGCAACACAGCUCUGGCAGAGCCUGAAAAUCCACCACCCAGCCCGACGGUCGGCCGGAAGGCAUCCCAGGGACAGGGCCGACCCGCUUCGGCAGGAGCAAAGCCCUCCGCAGAAGCCUUCCAGAGGCUGGGCGGUUGCCUGGCCAGGAAAAGAGGACACGGCUGGGCCGUAAAUCAAGGACACCCCUCCGAGGUGCAAGGAAAAGGAGCUGCCGGAGACGUGGUUACGGUGGACGCCCAAAACUCAGUGGGACUUGUGUCGGGGAAGGAGGGCUGCAAGGAAGCCUCAAGCCGAAUAUACGGUGGAGAAGACUCAAAGGAGGAGGAUUUGCAGAGAGAGGAUGCUGCCAGGAGCAUGCUGGCAGUCACCACGAGCAGCAAACUGCCCGCCACCCGCACCCAGCAGGCCGUCGUCAUUCCAACCGUCACUCAAUACUCAUCUAGCGAUAGUGAAAAUGUGGAAACAUCCUCCUGUGACGCUCGCUCGGACGCCACCACAUUUCCUGGCGGGGACCCCCAGCACGUACCCCCUUGCGAAACCUUUUGCCCAUCGGUGCCAGGAGAAGAGGAGCCGGCUGAAACUCCCGCGGGCUAUUCUCCGGAGAAAAGGAGAUCCGUGGGGCCUUUUGGAGAUACGGAGAGGCGGAAGGUCUUGGAUGCAGAAAUGUCACGUUCCCCGUGA
rnacentral:lncRNA from 1 species